CUUCGGCGAUCUGCUGCGGACUGGUGAAAUGGAUGUGCGUAUCCACGCCGCCUGCGGUCACGAUCAUGCCUUCGCCCGCGAUGACCUCCGUGGCUGCACCGAUCGGAAUGUUCACGUUUGGCUGAAUGUCCGGAUUGCCCGCUUUGCCGAUCGCAUGAAUGCGUCCGCCCUUGAUGCCGAUGUCCGCCUUUACGAUGCCCCAGUGAUCGAGAAUCUGCGCGUUGGUGACGACGGUAUCGACGACAUCGGCGGCGGGACGUUGCGACUGGCCCAUGCCGUCGCGAAUG
rnacentral:sRNA from 1 species